UAUGGCUAUAUCACAUUAAAAACACCAGUUCUCAUCCAAUCACUGAAUUUAAACAACAUUGAGCCUGGUCACUACCUAGAUGGGUGACCACUUGGGAAUACCAGAUGCUGUAAG